AACGAACGCUAACGGCAGGCUUAACACAUGCAAGUCGAGCGCCCCGCAAGGGGAGUGGCAGACGGGUGAGUAACGCGUGGGAACGUGCCCUUCGCUUCGGAAUAGCCCCGGGAAACUGGGAGUAAUACCGCAUACGCCGGAUUGGGAAAUAUUUAUCGGCGAAGGAUCGGCCCGGGUGAGAUUAGCUAGUUGGGGGUGUAAUGGACCACCAAGGCUACGAUCUAUACCUGGUCUGAGAGGAUGAUCAGCCACACUGGGACUGAGACACGGCCCAGACUCCUACGGGAGGCAGCAGUGGGGAAUCUUGGACAAUGGGCGCAAGCCUGAUCCAGCCAUGCCGCGUGAGUGAAGAAGGCCUUAGGGUUGUAAAACUCUUUCGCCGGAGAAGAUAAUGACGGUAUCCGGAGAAGAAGCCCCGGCUAACUUCGUGCCAGCCGCCGCAGUAACAC
rnacentral:rRNA from 1 species